GAGAUUUUGAAGAAUCCAAACUGACCGGGGGCUCCCCAAACCCCCGCAAUUCCAACUCAUAAUUCUCAUUCUGACCCGUGGGACUGAUAAACCCCAGUCUCCACGGGUCCAGCUGAUAAAAAAUGCAUUUGAUAAUUC